CCCCACCCGCCCCCAGUGUCAGGCACCGGAAGCUCAGUAACUGGCAUACGGGCUACCUUGGCAGGUUACCAUACUUAGCCUCUCUAAGCCUGUUUCCUCAGCGGUGUUGUAGGGAUAGUAACAACAGCACAUACUUCCUAAGGUUGUUGUGAGGGUUAAAUGCAGUUUUGUAUUUGAAGUGUUUGGCACUGUGCCUGGCAGAUGGCAGGCAGUCGGAGUUCACUGUCACCAUUAAGCACAUUAGUUAGAGCAGAAGACUGAGUGGUCGUGAUACUGGUCCACUGCAUUCUAUCCAGGGCCUGAAAUGCUUCUGCACAGACACUUCCUCGUCAGAUGGAACAACAUGAUGGAACCCAUCAUGUACAACAGAAAGGCCGAGAAGACCUCAUGAUACAGUUGGCCAUGGAGAUGACUGGAUGAUCAGUCUCAAAGUGGUGAAGAUCUGGAUUUCUAGGCUUCCCUAAAUUGGUCAAUCUCUCACAAGCAAGAAAAUGACCAGAGAGGCGGACGGAGAGACUGAACAUGCAGACAAUGAUCAGACCACAUAUAAACUGAGAAACUCUGACCCACACCUGUGCAGCAACCAGCCCGGAAUGGUCAGGGCUUGGUCAAUGACUGCCCGUUUCCCUAUCUUUUACUCCUAUUUCUGAAUCAGGACCAACCAGAGAAAGCCAGUUAUGUUCCCAAAACGAAUCGCAUGAGAUUCCUGGCUUCCAGAUAGCCUACCUCCAGUUUUCCCAUGCCAACAACCUCCAAUCACGACACGCCUGAGGCCUCUCUCCAUCACCCCCUUUUCUACUAUAAAGCUUUUCCCUCCUCUGCCUGCCUUUGAGUUUCUGUCAAAAGCUAGUGCUGGUGGUCGACUCCCUUACUAUAUAGCAAGUUCAGAGUAAAUAACCUCUGCUUGUUCUCA